ACGGAUUGUUGAAGGUCGAAUC
rnacentral:rRNA from 1 species